rnacentral:rRNA from 1 species
UACAGAGGGGGCAAGCGUUGUUCGGAAUUACUGGGCGUAAAGGGCGCGUAGGCGGCCUGUUAAGUCGGACGUGAAAUCCCUCGGCUCAACCGGGGAACUGCGUCCGAUACUGGCGGGCUUGAAUUCGGGAGAGGGAUGUGGAAUUCCAGGUGUAGCGGUGAAAUGCGUAGAUAUCUGGAGGAACACCGGUGGCGAAGGCGGCAUCCUGGACCGAUACUGACGCUGAGGAGCGAAAGCCAGGGGAGCAAACGGG